rnacentral:rRNA from 1 species
UACGUAGGUGACCAGCGUUGUCCGGAUUUACUGGGCGUAAAGAGCGCGCAGGCGGUCGUUCAAGUCGAGUGUGAAAGCCCCCGGCUCAACUGGGGAGGGUCACUUGAUACUGAUCGACUCGAAGGCAGGAGAGGGAAGCGGAAUUCCCGGUGUAGUGGUGAAAUGCGUAGAUAUCAGGAGGAACACCGGUGGCGAAGGCGGUGGUCUGGGCCGGCACUGACGCUGAGGAGCGAAAGCGUGGGGAGCAAACAGG